rnacentral:rRNA from 1 species
UACAAAGGGUGCGAGCGUUAAUCGGAAUUACUGGGCGUAAAGCGCACGUAGGUGGCGACGUAAGUCGGGUGUGAAAGCCCCGGGCUCAACCUGGGAAUUGCAUUCGAGACUGCAUUGCUGGAGUACGGAAGAGGAAGGCGGAAUUCCCGGUGUAGCGGUGAAAUGCGUAGAUAUCGGGAGGAACAUCAGUGGCGAAGGCGGCCUUCUGGUCCAGUACUGACACUCAAGUGCGAAAGCGGUGGGGAGCAAACAGG